GCCGGGGUGGCGGAACGGUAGACGCUGGGGACUUAAAAUCCUCUGGGUUCACAGCCCGUGCGGGUUCGACUCCCGCCCUCGGCACCA
rnacentral:tRNA from 1 species